rnacentral:rRNA from 1 species
UAGGGAAUAUUGGGCAAUGGGCGCAAGCCUGACCCAGCCAUGCCGCGUGGGCGAAGAAGGUCCUUUGGAUUGUAAAGCCCUUUUAUCCGGGAAUAAUGCUCCGCACGGCGGAGAGUGAAGGUACCGGAGGAAUCAGCACCGGCAAACUACGUGCCAGCAGCCGCGGUAAUACGUAGGGUGCAAGCGUUGUCCGGAUUUACUGGGUUUAAAGGGUGCGUAGGCGGAAUUGUAAGUCGGUGAUGAAAUGGGAGGGCUCAACCUUACCCGCUGUUACCGAUACUGCUUUUCUGGAGUCGAGCAGAGGUGACUGGAAUGAGCAGUGUAGCGGUGAAAUGCGUAGAUAUUGCUCAGAACACCAAUUGAGAAGUCAGGUCACUGGGCUCGUACUGACGCUGAGGCA